UCAUUCGGGUAAUCGCUGCAGUCUUCAGGGCUGCAGAGGAAAGUCCAUGCUCGCACGGUGCUGAGAUGCCCGUAGUGUUCGUGCCUAGCGAAUAAAUAAGCUAGGGCAGUCUGGUUUGCCAGGCUGACGGCGGGGAAAGAGCCUAAGUCUUUAGAUAUGGCUUCAAUACCCUGAAAAGUGCCACAGUGACGGAGUCCUGAAAGAAAUUUCAGGAGUGGAACGAGGUAAACCCCUCGAGCGAGAAACCCAAAUAUUGGUAGGGGCAUCUUCUCUAAGGAACUCAACAAGGAGAAGGACAGAGCGAUCUGUAGAUAGAUGAUUACCACCUGAGUACGAGGCUUUGCCGUUUGCAGUACAAAGGAACAAAACAUGGCUUACAGAA
rnacentral:RNase_P_RNA from 1 species